rnacentral:rRNA from 1 species
GAUGAACGCUGGCGGCGUGCCUAAUACAUGCAAGUCGAACGCAGUGGGGACGGGUGAGUAACACGUGGGUAACCUCCCAUCAGAGGGGAUAACACUUGGCAACAGGUGCUAAACCGAUACAGAUGGAUGGACCCGCGGUGCAUUAGCUAGUUGGUGAGGUAACGGCUCACCAAGGCCACGAUACAUAGCCGGCCUGAGAGGGGGAUCGGCCACACUGGGACUGAGACACGGCCCAGACUCCUACGGGAGGCAGCAGUAGGGAAUGUUCGGCAAUGGACGAAAGUCUGACCGAGCAACGCCGCGUGAGUGAAGAAGGUUUUCGGAUCGUAAAACUCUGUUGUUAGAGAAGCGGUAUCUAACCAGAAAGCCACGGCUAACUACGUGCCAGCAGCCGCGGUAAUUC